UUAAUGUUUUAUGACGUCAUGAAUGCUUAUGACGUCAUUCAUCCUGCGUCAUUCAUAUAAUGUCAUGCGUUGCAGUCGACUUCCAGAAGCAGAGAAAAGCGUUUUACUUUGACCACUAAGCUGAGGAAUGAGUCGACUACUAUUUCUGUGCGUUUUACUGGCGUCGGCGAUGAUUCUCGUCAGUGCCGUCAAUACAUAUUAUGGCGACAUUAUGGGAAGAAGCUUUGGAGCUGAUGGUGCGCGAUUCGGUGGCGGAAGCGAAAGUGCUGGCGAUGCCUCAGACUUUUUUAGAAGAGUUAGGACAACAGACAAUGAAUAGAUGGCGUGUGUACGUGUGUGAACUGACGGUGAAAAACCCUUGAUUUCAACUGGAGCUCACGUGCUAAAUACAUUUAUCUGCAUAUGUAUAACAUGAAAUAAAUAUGUAACGUAU